rnacentral:lncRNA from 1 species
GGUGCCUCCAGUUGGGAAAGGUGUGUCAAAGAAGAAAAAGUGGACUGUGCAUUAUCCAAAGAUUCCAUCAGCUAUAAGCCCAGUACCCCACGGAGAAGGACUGCCGGUUCCUGAUGCACCAGAAUCAUUCUCACUUGAGUCAGACGAGGAAGACGAAGAGGUUGGAACUUCUGGUCCUGAACCAUCAAUGUCACAGGAUCCACAUUUUCUCCCAUCCUCCUCCUCUGAACCACACCUCAUAACACAAGGUGAACUGAAUGACCUUGUCAGGGAUUUGGAACUACCCAAGAGUAAGGCAGAGCUGUUGGGCUCCAGACUACAGCAGUGGAAUCUCCUGGCAGGUGUUGUUAGGGUUUCCAUGUUCCGUGACCGUCAAAAGGAUCUUGUCCCAUUCUUCUUCAUGGAAGGUGAUCUUGUAGCCUGCAAUAACAUCGAUGGUGUGAUGGCAGCCCUCAACAUCGUUCACGAUCCAGAUGAGUGGAGACUGUUCAUUGAUUCAUCGAAGAGGAGUCUUAACGCUGUUUUACUGCAUAAUGGCAAUGUUUUGCUAUCAAUUCCAGUUGGUCAUGCAGUCCAUAUGAAGGAAACCUAUGACAACAUGAAACAACUUUUGAGGUGCAUAAACUAUGACCAACAUCAGUGGCAGCUUUGUGGUGAUUUGAAGGUUGUUGCUCUCUUGCCUGGUCUGCAGACUGGAUACACAAAGUACUGCUGUUUUCUCUGCGAAUGGGAUAGUCGUGCAAGAGAUUCCCACUACAACAAGAAAGACUGGCCACUCCGACAGUCAUUGGAGCCUGGGAGGAAAAGCGUUCAGCAUCCACCACUUGUUGAAUCAAGGAAGAUUUUGUUACCACCCUUAUACAUCAAGCUGGGUCUGAUGAAGAACUUUGUCAAGGCCAUUGACAAAACACAAGCAGCUUUCAAGUACCUUCGUGGAAAAUUUCCAAGGUUAAGUGAAGCUAAGAUAAAGGAAGGUGUCUUUGUUGGUCCUCAGAUUCAUGAAGUUCUUCGAGAUGAUGCAUUUGACCAUGCACUGC